rnacentral:rRNA from 1 species
GGGCCCGCACAAGCGGUGGAGCAUGUUGUUUAAUUCGAAGCAACGCGCAGAACCUUACCUGGAUUUGACAUCUCGGGAAUCUUCCUGAAAAGGAAGAGUGCCUUCGGGAACCCGAUGACAGGUGCUGCAUGGCUGUCGUCAGCUCGUGUCGUGAGGUGUUGGUUAAGUCCCGCAACGAGCGCAACCCCUAUCGUUAGUUGCUAGCAGUUCGGCUGAGCACUCUAGCGAGACUGCCGGUGUUAAACCGGAGGAAGGUGGGGACGACGUCAAGUCCGUCAUGGCCUUUAUGUCCAGGGCUACUAACGUGCUACAAUGGUCGGUACAGACGGUCGCGAACUCGCGAGAGU